rnacentral:rRNA from 1 species
CAGCAGCCGCGGGAAUGCGUAGGUGGCAAGCGUUGUCCGGAAUUAUUGGGCGUAAAGGGCUCGCAGGCGGUUUCUUAAGUCUGAUGUGAAAGCCCCCGGCUCAACCGGGGAGGGUCAUUGGAAACUGGGGAACUUGAGUGCAGAAGAGGAGAGUGGAAUUCCACGUGUAGCGGUGAAAUGCGUAGAGAUGUGGAGGAACACCAGUGGCGAAGGCGACUCUCUGGUCUGUAACUGACGCUGAGGAGCGAAAGCGUGGGGAGCGAACAGGAUUAGAUACCCCCGUAGUCCCUGUCUCUUAUAC